rnacentral:rRNA from 1 species
GGGGGGGGGGGGGGGGGGGGGGGAGACGGGGGGGGCGGGGGGGCGGGCGAGGGGGUGGCUGCUGUGGUGUUGGCGGCGGACGGGUGAGUAACGCGGGGAUAACCUACCUAUAAGACUGGGAUAACUUCGGGAAACCGUAGCUAGUACCGGAUAAUAUUUUGAACCGCAUGGUUCAAAAGUGAAAGACGGUCUUGAUGUCACUUAUAGAUGGAUCCGCGCUGCAUUAGCUAGUUGGUAAGGUAACGGCUUACCAAGGCAACUAUGCAUCGCCGACCUGAGAGGGUGAUCGGCCACACUGGAACUGAGACACGGUCCAGACUCCUACGGGAGGCAGCAGUAGGGAAUCUUCCGCAAUGGGCGAAAGCCUGACGGAGCAACGCCGCGUGAGUGAUGAAGGUCUUCGGAUCGUAAAACUCUGUUAGUAGGGAAGAACAUAUGUGUAAGUAACUGUGCACAUCUUGACGGUACCUAAUCAGAAAGCCACGGCUAACUACGUG